rnacentral:misc_RNA from 1 species
CAUGCACAACUCCUCUUCAUGAGCUCGCAGCACCGAUCCGCAUACGUUUGGCAGGCCAUCCUACACUGCAUCAUUCAAAAGUGCGGGCCAUUUCAGCGGCCAAGUGUGCGCGAUUAGCUUUCCGCGCUACCUGUAACCUCGCCACUCUUUCGGUGCAUGCGAGUGAUCACUGCACACAUGGGCAGGGCGAGCAUUUCCUUCGUCUGUUUCUACCUCCAGCGUACGCGUGAACGCCGCAUCAUUCAUGCGGGUUUGUCCCACACGAACACCCUUCCUGGCCUCGGCGCUCUCCUCGCCGCCCACGCUGCAAACGCGCACUGUCAGCGGUGAAGUUUGUGUGAGCGAACAAGGGAAACUCACAUCUCCUCCUCCAGCCCGCCCUCCCACGGAGAAAUACGGGGCGUCGUGCAGUGCGCUCCACCAUCGCUGAAGCACAUACGGCGUGCUCCUUUGUUGGAAAUUGCACCGCACACUCCCUAUUCCGACCACGACGUGCUUCACUGGCACGCACCGUCAGAGCCUAUUGUUGCGACCAUCCUCCUCCUCCUUUCCCUCGUCAUCGCAGCGAACUACGCAACUCGUGUGACUCAUGCGCUUGCGUCGGUCUUUGGUGCCGCGCGAAGCGUCCUUCUGUCCAUUCGCGGCUUCUCCCGGCAGACGCAAAGAGAUGAGCGGCGUCGCGCCGAGGCGCUUGGAGCCUGCAACCGCGAACGCCGCACGCGCGAGUCGGGGACACUUCAGCUCUGCGAGGUGUCUGCAAAUGCGCUCGUGAAUUCAACAGCCCCCCUCCUCCCUACACGCACACACACACAGGCUGGCGAACUGCAGCAGCAACGGCAUGCAGCCGCUAACUCGCUGGGGCGAGGCCACGCACUCGUGCUAGCAGCCGCACACCAACCCGUGAGCACAGCAGAGGGAGUAACUGCAGCAAGAAAAGGCGGAGGCCAACGGCCCGCAGCCCUUUAUGGCGUACGAGAUGAGCGUGAGGGCCACUGGAGUAUCGGUGGCGGGCACCUGUCAGACGGUGAUUGCUGCACAAGUUCAAGAGUGAGUGCGCAGCUAUCACACAACGCCGUCGUAGGGCCACCGUCUCUCUCUCUCUGUGACGGUACGCAGAGUGUGCAGCGGUGUCAGAGGGAUCCUUGUCACGCCGCCCAUAUCAUACUCUUCCCCCUCGGUGAAGCGUUCCAAGCCGACGUAGAAUCCUUUUCUUCCUGCCGCGGGACGCUCCGACAAAGGUGUCACGUCGAUACCGUUGGUCUUUCCAGAGUCGGAGAGCCGCGGAGAUGUGGGCGCCCGGUUGGCGCGAACUCGGCAAGGGUAGUGAGAGUCGGCAGCCGCUGCUCCGCUGCGGAGCGCCGCCUCUUCUUUCCUGUUGUUGUCGUCACCGCAAGAUGUGACGGGGAUGGGCUUUGUGUGUCUCUUCGCCUUCGUCGAUUUUGUUUGUCUGUAUGUGGCCUCGCCACCCCUCGACUCCCACUGUGGCCGCCGCCCCUGAACGGUCUUGCGUGGAAGGGGCGAACGUGCCUGCUGGUGCACUUACAUCGUCCAUAUAUAUAUAUAUAUAUACCGGUGUAUGCGUGUGUGUGUGUGUCAGUGUGUAUGUGGCACGCGGCGCGCUUCAAGUCGUUUCUCCUUGCAGCAGCGGCGAAGCUUGCAUUGCAUUCGCUUAUCAGUGCCUCCUUACUUUUCCGCGCCGGCGCGUGUGUCGCUGCACAUGCAUCUCUGUGCACGUGUUCCUUUCUGCUCGGCAGCCUCCCUCGUUUGGCGUGGCCUGACUUUGGAGUGAUUUUUGUGGAAGCCACCUGCAGACGGAAGCGCGUACGACAACCGACGCUCACGCGCUUACGCCAGCAACUCUUGUGAGCCAAUAAGAUGCUUUCUCUUCCGUUCGCUCCCUCGGCUUGAACUUUGGGCGCGCGACUUCUCGUUUUGGGGGGAGGGAGGCGUCCCUUCCCGCACUUUCUACUCCAUCGCCCGCAUAGGUGUGCGCGCGUGUUUCUGUCUGCAUCUGCCUAUGCUUUUUUUUUGUUGUGCGGUCACACGUAUUGUAGACGUUUUCUAUCUAAGCACACGCGACGUCCAUGUUUGUGUGUGUGUGUGUGUGUGUGUGUGUCUGUGUCUGUGCACGGUUCCCGGUGCACGUAUGCAAAGGUGCCUGGAGGUUCUGUUCCGCAAUCCACAAGCCGAUGCACACGGCCUUUCCCAUCUCCGUGUACCUCCCUGUCUGUGUACCCUGCGUUUGCCUCUCCCCCCCCCUAGCGUGUCGAUUUAGUCCUUUGCGUCUCCGCCUCUCCUCCUCCGCGACUCCCUGUCCCUGCAGGCGCGGCCCGCUUCAGCGGUGAAUCGAGUCUGUCGUCCAAUC